GAGUUUGAUCGUGGCUCAGAUUGAACGCUGGCGGCAUGCCUUACACAUGCAAGUCGAACGGCAGCACGGGAGCUUGCUCCUGGUGGCGAGUGGCGAACGGGUGAGUAAUGCAUCGGAACGUAUCCUGGAGUGGGGGAUAACGUAGCGAAAGUUACGCUAAUACCGCAUAUUCUGUGAGCAGGAAAGCGGGGGACCUUUCGGGCCUCGCGCUCUUGGAGCGGCCGAUGUCGGAUUAGCUAGUUGGUGAGGUAAAGGCUCACCAAGGCGACGAUCCGUAGCAGGUCUGAGAGGAUGAUCUGCCACACUGGAACUGAGACACGGUCCAGACUCCUACGGAGGCAGCAGUGGGAAUUUUGGACAAUGGGGGCAACCCUGAUCCAGCCAUGCCGCGUGAGUGAAGAAGGCCUGGUGUAAG
rnacentral:rRNA from 1 species